rnacentral:rRNA from 1 species
CGGGACGGGUGAGUAAUGUCUGGGAAACUGCCUGAUGGAGGGGGAUAACUACUGGAAACGGUGGCUAAUACCGCAUAACGUCGCAAGACCAAAGAGGGGGACCUUCGGGCCUCUUGCCAUCGGAUGUGCCCAGAUGGGAUUAGCUAGUAGGUGGGGUAACGGCUCACCUAGGCGACGAUCCCUAGCUGGUCUGAGAGGAUGACCAGCCACACUGGAACUGAGACACGGUCCAG